rnacentral:rRNA from 1 species
AGAGUUUGAUUCUGGCUCAGGAUGAACGCUAGCGACAGGCUUAACACAUGCAAGUCGAGGGGCAGCACGGGAGUAGCAAUACAACUGGUGGCGACCGGCGCACGGGUGAGUAACGCGUAUGCAACCUACCUAUCAGAGGGGAAUAACCCGGCGAAAGUCGGACUAAUACCGCAUAAAACAGGGGCACCGCAUGGUGAUAUUUGUUAAAGAAAUUCGCUGAUAGAUGGGCAUGCGUUCCAUUAGGUAGUUGGUGAGGUAACGGCUCACCAAGCCGACGAUGGAUAGGGGAACUGAGAGGUUGGUCCCCCACACUGGUACUGAGACACGGACCAGACUCCUACGGGAGGCAGCAGUGAGGAAUAUUGGUCAAUGGGCGAGAGCCUGAACCAGCCAAGUCCGCGUGAAGGAAGAAGGAUCUAUGGUUCGUAAACUUCUUUUGCAGGGGAAUAAAGUGCGGGACGUGUCCUGUUUUGUAUGUACCCUGAGAAUAAGGAUCGGCUAACUCCGUGCCAGCCGCGGC